rnacentral:rRNA from 1 species
CCUACGGGAGGCAGCAGUGGGGAAUAUUGCACAAUGGGCGAAAGCCUGAUGCAGCGACGCCGCGUGAGGGAUGACGGCCUUCGGGUUGUAAACCUCUUUCAGCAGGGACGAAGCGCAAGUGACGGUACCUGCAGAAGAAGCACCGGCUAACUACGUGCCAGCAGCCGCGGUAAUACGUAGGGUGCAAGCGUUGUCCGGAAUUACUGGGCGUAAAGAGUUCGUAGGCGGUUUGUCGCGUCGUUUGUGAAAACCAGCAGCUCAACUGCUGGCUUGCAGGCGAUACGGGCAGACUUGAGUACUGCAGGGGAGACUGGAAUUCCUGGUGUAGCGGUGAAAUGCGCAGAUAUCAGGAGGAACACCGGUGGCGAAGGCGGGUCUCUGGGCAGUAACUGACGCUGAGGAACGAAAGCGUGGGUAGCGAACAGGAUUAGAUACCCUGGUAGUCCACGCCGUAAACGGUGGGCGCUAGGUGUGGGUUCCUUCCACGGAAUCCGUGCCGUAGCUAACGCA